rnacentral:rRNA from 1 species
AUGCUUCUUACCUUGAUCGCCGUGCUCGCUUCGGCGUGGCCCGCGGCGGCAGCGGCAUCGCAACCACCGAGCGGAACAUGCCAGCGGCGGUGCGGCGACGUGGACAUCCCGUACCCGUUCGGCAUCGCCCGCGGGUGCUACCUCUACACGGGCGAGAACGACGUGACCUUCGGCCUCACCUGCAACCUCACCGCCGACGGCACCUACAGGCCCUUCUGCUUCGAGGUCGAGGUCCUGGGCGUGUCCGUGGCCCGCGGGCAGGCGCGCGUCCGCAACGAGAUCAACCCGUGGUGCUACAACGCCACGUCCCGGUCCAUGGACGGGGGGAGCAGCAUGUGGACGGACUUCUCCGACUCGUCCUUCAUGCUGUCCGACGAGGACAACCGGUUCACCGUGGUCGGGUGCAACUCGCUCGCCUACGUGAGCUCCAAGGACGCGUCCCAGUUCGCGACGGGCUCCACGUACAUGACCGGGUGCAUGGCCACGUGCCCGGGCGCCGGCCGGCUGGAGAACGGCUCCUGCUCCGGCAUGGGCUGCUGCCAGGCGGCCAUCCCCAGGGGGAUCAACUCGUACGACGUGGUGUUUGAGGAGAAGUUCAACACCACCGCGAUCGCUAACUUCAGCCGGUGCAGCUACGCGGUCCUGGUCGAGGCGGCGUGGUUCGACUUCCGCACCACCUACGUCACCGCCGGCGACUUCAUGGCGUCCACCGGCGGGAAGGUUCCGCUGGUGCUCGACUGGGUGGUAGGGAAGGUGACGUGCCGGGAGGCGAUGCGGAACACCACGGCCUACGCCUGCGUCAGCAGCAGCAGCGUGUGCGUGGAUUCGAGGAACGGCCCGGGAUAUCUCUGCAACUGCUCUCGUGGGUACCAAGGCAACCCAUACAUGCAAGGCGGCUGCCGAGAUAUUGACGAGUGCGGCGAUGGUGGAAUCAGUUACCCGUGCUCUGCUCCUGGUACCUGCAUCAACACCCCGGGAGGAUUCAGGUGCGCUUGCCCUGACAAGACAACAGGCAACGCUUAUACUGGCACAUGCGAGGCCAAGAAAUCUCAACUUGGAGCGCACAUUGCAAUUGGUGUUAGCAUCAGCGUAGUUGUACUGGUAAUUAGCAUGUCCUGCGCCUACCUGAUCCACGAAAGGAGGAGCCUCGCCACCGUAAAGCGGAGGUACUUCAAGCAGCACGGAGGCCUCAUGCUGUUCGAGGAGAUGAAGUCAAAGCAAGGAGUGUCCUUCACGCUGUUCACCAAGGAGGAGCUAGAGGAGGCAACCGGCAGAUUCGACGAGCGAAAUGUGAUCGGGAAGGGAGGCAACGGCACUGUCUACAAGGGCACCCUCAAGGACAGCCGAACAGUGGCCAUAAAGCGGUGCAAGCUCAUCAACGACCGGCAGAAGAAGGAGUUCGGGAAGGAGAUGCUCAUCCUGUCCCAGAUCAACCACCGGAACGUCGUCAGGCUCUACGGCUGCUGCCUCGAGGUGGAGGUCCCCAUGCUCGUCUACGAGUUCGUCCCCAACGGCACCCUGUACCAGCUCAUCCACCGCCACGGAGCGCGCGCCCCCCUGCCCCUGGCGACGCGCCUCAAGAUCGCGCACGAGGGCGCCGAGGCGCUCGCGUACCUGCACUCCUGGGCCUCGCCGCCGAUCAUCCACGGCGACGUCAAGUCGCCCAACAUGCUCAUCGACGACGGCCACACCGUCAAGGUCUCCGACUUCGGGGCCUCCACGCUGGCCCCGACGGACGAGGCCCAGUUCGUGACGUUUGUCCAGGGCACCUGCGGCUACCUCGACCCGGAGUACAUGCAGACCUGCAAGCUGACGGACAAGAGCGACGUGUACAGCUUCGGCGUCGUCCUCCUGGAGCUGCUCACCCGGAGGAAGGCGCUCAACCUUCAGGCCGCCGAGGGCGAGGAGAAGAACCUCUCGUCGCACUUCCUUCUCGCCGCGAGCGCGAGCAAGCUGGACGAGAUAGUGGACGCCCAGAUCGUGGACGAGCAGAGCAUCGAGGUGAUUGAGCAGGUGGCAGAGAUAGCAAAGCAGUGCCUGGAGAUGGGCAGCGAGAGGAGACCCUCCAUGCGCGAGGUUGCAGAAGAGCUUGGCGGGCUAAGGAGGCGUCUGCUUGCGCAGCAUCCGUGGGGCCAAAAGAGUUCCGAGGAGACGGAAGCCUUGCUUGCUGUUGGGUCGCCACCGCCAGCAAGCAAUUGCUCCGAGAUUGAGCUUAGCAAUGCAUAUGUCAGCCUGGACGAUUCUGCGUAUCUGGGAGUGCAAUCCCCACGGUGA